rnacentral:tRNA from 1 species
GCCGCCUUAGCUCAGUCGGCAGAGCGUCUCACUCGUAAUGAGAAGGUCUGGAGUUCGAUUCUCCAAGGCGGCUCCA